rnacentral:rRNA from 1 species
AACGAACGCUGGCGGCAGGCUUAACACAUGCAAGUCGAACGGAUCCUUCGGGAUUAGUGGCAGACGGGGGAGUAACGCGUGGGAACGUACCCUUUGCUACGGAAUAACUCAGGGAAACUUGAGCUAAUACCGCAGGUGCCCUACGGGGGAAAGAUUUAUCGGCAAAGGAUCGGCCCGCGUUGGAUUAGCUAGUUGGUGGGGUAAUGGCCUACCAAGGCGACGAUCCAUAGCUGGUCUGAGAGGAUGAUCAGCCACACUGGGACUGCGACACGGCCCAGACUCCUACGGGAGGCAGCAGUGGGGAAUAUUGGACAAUGAGCGCAAGCCUGAUCCAGCCAUGCCGCGUGAGUGAUGAAGGUCUUAGGAUUGUAAAGCUCUUUCACCGGUGAAGAUAAUGACGGUAGCCGGAGAAGAAGCCCCGGCUAACUUCGUG